AGAAUCAACGCUGGCGGCGUGCCUCAGACAUGCAAGUCGAACGAUUAAAGCUCUCUUCGGAGAGUGUAUAGAGUGGCGCACGGGUGAGUAACACGUAAGUAAUCUACCUUUGAGUGGGGAAUAACCCGGGGAAACCCGAGCUAAUACCGCAUAAUGCAGCGGCACCGCAAGGUGACAGUUGUUAAAGGAG
rnacentral:rRNA from 1 species